rnacentral:rRNA from 1 species
UACGUAGGUGGCAAGCGUUGUCCGGAUUUACUGGGUGUAAAGGGCGUGCAGCCGGGCUGACAAGUCAGAUGUGAAAUCCCGAGGCUUAACCUCGGAACUGCAUUUGAAACUGUUGGUCUUGAGUAUCGGAGAGGUCAUCGGAAUUCCUUGUGUAGCGGUGAAAUGCGUAGAUAUAAGGAAGAACACCAGUGGCGAAGGCGGAUGACUGGACGACAACUGACGGUGAGGCGCGAAAGCGUGGGGAGCGAACAGG